GCGGUCGUGGCGGAAUUGGUAGACGCGCAUGUUUCAGGUACAUGUGCCUUCGGGUGUGGGAGUUCAAGUCUCCCCGACCGCA
rnacentral:tRNA from 1 species